rnacentral:rRNA from 2 species
AGAGUUUGAUCCUGGCUCAGGACGAACGCUGGCGGCGUGCCUAAUACAUGCAAGUAGAACGCUGAAGAGAGGAGCUUGCUCUUCUUGGAUGAGUUGCGAACGGGUGAGUAACGCGUAGGUAACCUGCCUUGUAGCGGGGGAUAACUAUUGGAAACGAUAGCUAAUACCGCAUAACAAUGGAUGACACAUGUCAUUUAUUUGAAAGGGGCAAUUGCUCCACUACAAGAUGGACCUGCGUUGUAUUAGCUAGUAGGUGAGGUAAUGGCUCACCUAGGCGACGAUACAUAGCCGACCUGAGAGGGUGAUCGGCCACACUGGGACUGAGACACGGCCCAGACUCCUACGGGAGGCAGCAGUAGGGAAUCUUCGGCAAUGGGGGCAACCCUGACCGAGCAACGCCGCGUGAGUGAAGAAGGUUUUCGGAUCGUAAAGCUCUGUUGUAAGUCAAGAACGGGUGUGAGAGUGGAAAGUUCACACUGUGACGGUAGCUUACCAGAAAGGGACGGCUAACUACGUGCCAGCAGCCGCGGUAAUACGUAGGUCCCGAGCGUUGUCCGGAUUUAUUGGGCGUAAAGCGAGCGCAGGCGGUUUGAUAAGUCUGAAGUUAAAGGCUGUGGCUCAACCAUAGUUCGCUUUGGAAACUGUCAAACUUGAGUGCAGAAGGGGAGAGUGGAAUUCCAUGUGUAGCGGUGAAAUGCGUAGAUAUAUGGAGGAACACCGGUGGCGAAAGCGGCUCUCUGGUCUGUAACUGACGCUGAGGCUCGAAAGCGUGGGGAGCGAACAGGAUUAGAUACCCUGGUAGUCCACGCCGUAAACGAUGAGUGCUAGGUGUUGGAUCCUUUCCGGGAUUCAGUGCCGCAGCUAACGCAUUAAGCACUCCGCCUGGGGAGUACGACCGCAAGGUUGAAACUCAAAGGAAUUGACGGGGGCCCGCACAAGCGGUGGAGCAUGUGGUUUAAUUCGAAGCAACGCGAAGAACCUUACCAGGUCUUGACAUCCCGAUGCUAUUUCUAGAGAUAGAAAGUUACUUCGGUACAUCGGUGACAGGUGGUGCAUGGUUGUCGUCAGCUCGUGUCGUGAGAUGUUGGGUUAAGUCCCGCAACGAGCGCAACCCCUAUUGUUAGUUGCCAUCAUUCAGUUGGGCACUCUAGCGAGACUGCCGGUAAUAAACCGGAGGAAGGUGGGGAUGACGUCAAAUCAUCAUGCCCCUUAUGACCUGGGCUACACACGUGCUACAAUGGUUGGUACAACGAGUUGCGAGUCGGUGACGGCGAGCUAAUCUCUUAAAGCCAAUCUCAGUUCGGAUUGUAGGCUGCAACUCGCCUACAUGAAGUCGGAAUCGCUAGUAAUCGCGGAUCAGCACGCCGCGGUGAAUACGUUCCCGGGCCUUGUACACACCGCCCGUCACACCACGAGAGUUUGUAACACCCGAAGUCGGUGAGGUAACCUUUUGGAGCCAGCCGCCUAAGGUGGGACAGAUGAUUGGGGUGAAGUCGUAACAAGGUAGCCGUAUCGGAAGGUGCGGCUGGAUCACCU